CUACGGGGCGCUGCAGUGGGGAAUAUUGCACAAUGGGCGCAAGCCUGAUGCAGCCAUGCCGCGUGUAUGAAGAAGGCCUUCGGGUUGUAAAGUACUUUCAGCGGGGAGGAAGGGAGUAAAGUUAAUACCUUUGCUCAUUGACGUUACCCGCAGAAGAAGCACCGGCUAACUCCGUGCCAGCAGCCGCGGUAAUACGGAGGGUGCAAGCGUUAAUCGGAAUUACUGGGCGUAAAGCGCACGCAGGCGGUUUGUUAAGUCAGAUGUGAAAUCCCCGGGCUCAACCUGGGAACUGCAUCUGUUACUGGCAAGCUUGAGUCUCGUAGAGGGGGGUAGAAUUCCAGGUGUAGCGGUGAAAUGCGUAGAGAUCUGGAGGAAUACCGGUGGCGAAGGCGGCCCCCUGGACGAAGGCUGACGCUCAGGUGCGAAAGCGUGGGGAGCAAACAGGAUUAGAUACCCCAGUAGUC
rnacentral:rRNA from 1 species